AUGCAAGUCGAACGAAGUAGCAAUACUUAGUGGCAGACGGGUGAGUAACAUGUAGGUAUCUGCCCUUUGGCCCGGAAUAACACGAGGAAACUUGUGCUAAUACCGGAUAAGUCUUUACGGAGAAAGCUUUACGCACCAUUGGAUGAGCCUGCACUUGAUUAGUUUGUUGGUGGGGUAAUGGCCUACCAAGACUUUGAUCAAUAGCUGAUUUGAGAGGAUGAUCAGCCACAUUGGGACUGAGACACGGCCCAAACUCCUACGGGAGGCAGCAGUGGGGAAUCUUGCACAAUGGAGGAAACUCUGAUGCAGCGAUGCCGCGUGAGUGAAGAAGGCCCUUGGGUUGUAAAGCUCUUUCGUCGGGGAAGAAAAUGACUGUACCCGAAUAAGAAGGUCCGGCUAACUUCGUGCCAGCAGCCGCGGUAAUACGAAGGGACCUAGCGUAGUUCGGAAUUACUGGGCUUAAAGAGUUCGUAGGUGGUUGAAAAAGUUGGUGGUGAAAUCCCAGAGCUUAACUCUGGAACUGCCAUCAAAACUUUUCAGCUAGAGUAUGAUAGAGGAAAGCAGAAUUUCUAGUGUAGAGGUGAAAUUCGUAGAUAUUAGAAAGGAUACCAAUUGCGAAGGCAGCUUUCUGGAUCAUUACUGACACUGAGGAACGAAAGCAUGGGUAGCGAAGAGGAUUAGAUACCCUCGUAGUCCAUGCCGUAAACGAUGUGUGUUAGACGUUGGAAAUUUAUUUUCAGUGUCGCAGCGAAAGCGAUAAACACACCGCCUGGGGAGUACGACCGCAAGGUUAAAACUCAAAUGAAUUGACGGGGACCCGCACAAGUAGUGGAGCAUGUGGUUUAAUUCGAAGAUACGCGCAGAACCUUACCAACACUUGACAUGUUCGUCGCGACUUUAAGAGAUUAAAGUUUUCGGUUCGGCCGGACGAAACACAGGUGCUGCAUGGCUGUCGUCAGCUCGUGUC
rnacentral:rRNA from 1 species